GAAUUGCACGAGCAUAACUGGUGUUGAUCUUUCAAACAACGACCUCUCUGGACCUAUUCCAGAUAACAUUUCUCACAUCAUUGGGUUUGUAACAUCUCUUGAUCUCUCGUCCAACAAUUUCUCAGGGGAAAUUCCACAGGAACUUGGAAAUUGUAGCUAUUUGAAUGUUAUUAGACUUGAUCACAACCAGUUGACAGGUCAAAUACCUUUACAACUUGGUUUGUUGGAUCGGCUUAAAACAUUUAGUGUAACUAAUAAUCUUCUCAGUGGACCCGUUCCAAAUUUCCUCCACUACAACGUUACAGCCGAAAAUUAUGCAAAUAAUCUAGGGCUGUGUGGGAAGCCUUUGGAAGCCUGCACUGGAACUUCAAAGGGCCCUUCCACUGGAGUUAUUGUUGGGGCAGCAAUUGGUGGGGUGACUUUUGCUGCAAUAGCUGUGGGUAUUGGUUCAGUCUUCUACUACCUAAAGGUGUCUAAGAUGAAGAAAAAGAAGGAUGAAGACCCUGAAGGAAAUAAAUGGGCAAAGAG
rnacentral:misc_RNA from 1 species